GACGAACGCUGGCGGCGUGCCUAAUACAUGCAAGUAGAACGCACAGUUUAUACCGUAGCUUGCUACACCAUAGACUGUGAGUUGCGAACGGGUGAGUAACGCGUAGGUAACCUGCCUGGUAGCGGGGGAUAACUAUUGGAAACGAUAGCUAAUACCGCAUAAUAUUGAUUAUUGCAUGAUAAUUGAUUGAAAGAUGCUAUUGCAUCACAACCAGAUGGACCUGCGUUGUAUUAGCUAGUAGGUGAGGUAACGGCUCACCUAGGCGACGAUACAUAGCCGACCUGAGAGGGUGAUCGGCCACACUGGGACUGAGACACGGCCCAGACUCCUACGGGAGGCAGCAGUAGGGAAUCUUCGGCAAUGGACGAAAGUCUGACCGAGCAACGCCGCGUGAGUGAAGAAGGUUUUCGGAUCGUAAAGCUCUGUUGUAAGAGAAGAACGGGUGUGAGAGUGGAAAGUUCACACUGUGACGGUAUCUUACCAGAAAGGGACGGCUAACUACGUG
rnacentral:rRNA from 1 species